CGGGUAGUAGAUCAGUGCAUCUGAAAUCCAUGAUAGAUGAUUUUUCAUGAUGCUUCACAGCGGCACACAUGUCCGAUCUCUAGGGUAUCCACACGAAGUCCUCGUGUUGAUCGAUCUCUCCGGGAGUGCUAGCUCGCGAAGACACCAUCCAUUGACUGAUUUGAGAGAAACAUGAUGGAAUUGAAGAAUAGAGAAACCCUCUCCUUUUCUUCCUAGA
rnacentral:lncRNA from 1 species